AGUGAACGCUGGCGGUAGGCCUAACACAUGCAAGUCGAACGGCAGCACAGUAAGAGCUUGCUCUUACGGGUGGCGAGUGGCGGACGAGUGAGUAAUACAUCGGAAUCUACUUUUUCGUGGGGGAUAACGUAGGGGAACUUACGCUAAUACCGCAUAGGACCUAAGGGUGAAAGCAGGGGAUCUUCGGACCUUGCGCGAUUGAAUGAGCCGAGGUCGGCUUAGAUAGUUGGCGGGGGAAUGGCCCACCAAGGCGACGAUCCGUCGCUGGGGUGAGAGGAUGAUCAGCCACACUGGAACUGAGACACGGUCCAGACUCCUACGGGAGGCAGCAGUGGGGAAUAUUGGACAAUGGGCGCAAGCCUGACCCAGCCAUACCGAGUGGGUGAAGAAGGCCUUCGGGUUGUAAAGCCCUUUUGUUGGGAAAGAAAAGCAGCAGGUUAAUACCCCGCUGUUCUGACGGUACCCAAAGAAUAAGCACCGGCUAACUUCGUG
rnacentral:rRNA from 1 species